UUAUUUGGUGGACAAAAGACACCAAAUCUCCAAUUUCCAUCUGAAUGAAUAAAGCCCCACUGAGAGGCAGGGACCGGCCCGCCGCUCCGGCCCCAAAUACCCGACGACCACUGGAGCAAAUGGGUAUACAAAGCAGAAGAAAAGAACGAGCCCAGGAGAGGGGGCGAGGGGGGGGGGGGGGGGGUCCUCUAAAGACAUGUUUAUAUACGUUAAAGAAAAUGCAAAUGUGUCCCGUGAGGAACAGAGAUCUCUGAGACUCUCUAAUGCCGCUGUUGUUGAACUCACGUGCAGACUGGCGAGAUCGACACGGCGCUCACGUGAAAGGGGUGUGUGUGUGUGUGUGCGUCCUUCACAAAUGGCAGCUUUGCGCAGAGGAUGAAAAAUCCAAUCCAACAUUGUAAAGAGAGAGAAAGUUUUAACCCACGAGGCCAAACUCAACACUUAGUGUGUAGUUUGCUUUGACUGCUUUGUGUUUCUGUGUGUGAGACAGAAUGCUGAGCGACCUGAACAAGAAACACCACGGCUGUCACACGGCGCCCGGGCAGCGCGUCACGUCCCAGCUGGGACCCAAUGGGCUUUUCCUGCUGCUCUCUGGGAGCAGAAUCCUGUCCAUCAGUCCAUCCGUUGACCUGUAGCUUCGUAUUCAGCUCAUGAAGUAUUCACUAAUGUUUAGAAGUCCUGAACAGGGUUCCUAAGGUGUGAUGGUGUCCAUCCACUACAGCUGCAAACGUCAUUAUUGUAUUUUUAUUCACACAUGGAUGCCUGUACACUGUUGAAGUGGGGAGGGGGCUGCUGGAGAAAUCCCCUGCAGUUAUUCAUAUAUUCUUUGAACUUAGAGAGAAAGUCAACAUCCUCCCAACUUGUUUUAACUUAAUUUAAACAAUUACGUCUUAUUGGAAUUUUUAAUGGACAAUGAAUGAACAUAUCAAUUAUUGAAAGACAAGCGCUGCUGUAUUCCACAUGUGACAAAGCGUGUGGAACCUUGUUUUGGGGGGACAAAAGGAUCAUAAUCUAUAAAGCUUAUCUAAACCCUUUUUUAAAUAUAAAUGUUGGUUUUGCUGUGAUGUCCUUAAAUAAUACCAGAAUGGCGUCUCUUCAUGGUGGGACAGGCCUGACUGUGUCCAACUGCAAGCUGCUCGACUAGAUGUUGUCCAGUCAGGUGUCUCCUGUUUGACUUUCUGUGGCAGAUGGGUUCUUUAUAGAACAUGCCAACCGAUAUUAGCUUCUGUACGGCAAGACGAGUGCUGCCCCUGAAAGGCUGUGCAUGUGUGUGUGAGGGGGAGAGAGAGAGAGAAAGAGAGGGGCAAAGGGAGGGGUGAGGGAGGGAGAUUGAACUUCAAUUGUGAAGAAUGAGAAGAGAAAAUCUCUUAGAGCCGUGACGGGGCCCGGUCCUCUGUAAAUGCAUUUUAAUAGGAGGGACCCUGAUGUCUAUGGCAAUUCAUCUCCAAUCUCCCUGUAAGGAGAAGAAUGGUGGUGCAGCGCCGGGCUGGAGGUGGGGGUGUGGGUGUGGGGAUGGAGCAGUGGGUGUGGGGAUGGAGCAGUGGGGAUGGAGCAGUGGGUGUGGGAGUGGGGAUGGAGCAGUGGUACACAAAGGCUGCAUUUGGCUUUGCCUCAUUAUGCUGCAGUUAGAAGGGCUGCACGGAGGCUGCGGGGGUUCGAUUCCCCACAGACCAGCUCAGGGCAACAAUACCGGCAUGGAAGGCAGCGAAGGGAGACCCUGCCAAGCCAUUAUCCCGCCGCCGCUAACGAGGGCUUCAUACGCCUUUGAUAUAAUCUCACUAUUGAAUUCCUGAUAAAUCCCCUCCUGCGUUUUCAGCCAAAUCCCAUUUGUAACGGACUCGCCAAACACAGUGAGUGAGUGUGUGAGUGUGUGUGUGUGUGUGUGUGUGUGUGUGUCGUCGUCACCUGCGCCUCUCUGUUCUGGCAGCCGAGGCCGAGGGGAGAUGCAUGUUAAACCGGCCCGUUACACUGGCUUUGAUACAAAUCCCCUCUUACGCGCACGAGACGUCUCGUGAGCCAAUCUGAGUUGAGACCCAAUUGUAAUACAAUGUAUGUUUAAGUGGAUAUAGUCCCUUUCUUUCCCCACAUAUUAUCUGAUAGUCAAACAAUAACUGGAUUACAACACACGAGGGGACAAAUGAUGGAAGUCGGAGCAAAUUAAUGGAAUUUAUUAAUGAGGAAAAAUGAGCCAUAAAACGAGACUAUUCCCACCAGUUACAUUGUUAGAAUGCAGCUCAGCCAUUACUCCGCUUGUUAAGCUGCCUCAGCAUCACGGGGCUGUCAGAAGGGCAUCGCAUGAAACCCUGUCUGUCUGGGUGGGUGGCUCGGGGAAGGUGGAAGUGAAAUAAAGGCAUAUCACGUCAUGUUAUUCUAUAGAGGUGAAGAGGUCACCGGGACAGCUCGGCCCCCGGUCGCUGCUGCUUUGGCUCCAGGGGGCCACACGGGGGGCAUCUAACCGAAAAGUGUGAGAGCAUAAAUGUCUUUGCCCCUAUAUGAGCAUCCUGAGCAGACACUAUUUAAAUGCUUUGUCCUCUAACUCAGGGACACUGCGCAUCUCUGCCCCCCCCCC
ensembl:lncRNA